rnacentral:tRNA from 3 species
GCCCCCGUAGCUCAGUGGAUAGAGCAAUGGAUUCCUAAUCCAUGUGCCGCAGGUUCGAUUCCUGCCGGGGGCACCA